GAUGAACGCUGGCGGCGUGCCUAAUACAUGCAAGUCGAGCGAACAGACGAGGAGCUUGCUCCUCUGACGUUAGCGGCGGACGGGUGAGUAACACGUGGAUAACCUACCUAUAAGACUGGGAUAACUUCGGGAAACCGGAGCUAAUACCGGAUAAUAUAUUGAACCGCAUGGUUCAAUAGUGAAAGACGGUUUUGCUGUCACUUAUAGAUGGAUCCGCGCCGCAUUAGCUAGUUGGUAAGGUAACGGCUUACCAAGGCGACGAUGCGUAGCCGACCUGAGAGGGUGAUCGGCCACACUGGAACUGAGACACGGUCCAGAAUCCUACGGGGGGCAGCAGUAGGGAAUCUUCCGCAAUGGGCGAAAGCCUGACGGAGCAAAGCCGCGUGAGUGAUGAAGGUCUUCGGAUCGUAAAACUCUGUUAUUAGGGAAGAACAAAUGUGUAAGUAACUAUGCACGUCUUGACGGUACCUAAUCAGAAAGCCACGGCUAACUACGUG
rnacentral:rRNA from 1 species